AAUUGGAGGGCAAGUCUGGUGCCAGCAGCCGCGGUAAUUCCAGCUCCAAUAGCGUACAUUAAAGUUGUUGCAGUUAAAAAGCUCGUAGUUGGAUUUCUGUUAAUAAUUUAUAUAUAAUAUUUGAUUAAUAUUUAUAUAAUAUUAACAUAAUUCAUAUUACUAAAUUUAUUAGUAUACGAAAUUUUACUUUGAGAAAAUUAGAGUGCUUAAAGCAGGCAUAUGCCUUGAAUACUCCAGCUUGGAAUAAUAUUAAAGAUUUUUAUCUUUCUUAUUGGUUCUAAGAUAAAAAUAAUGAUUAAUAGGGACAGUUGGGGGCAUUUGUAUUUAACAGUCAGAGGUGAAAUUCUUAGAUUUGUUAAAGACAAACUAAUGCGAAAGCAUUUGCCAAGGAUGUUUUCAUUAAUCAAGAACGAAAGUUAGGGGAUCGAAGACGAUCAGAUACCGUCGUAG
rnacentral:rRNA from 1 species